UAAGAUUCUCGAAUAUAUCGACAUUUCCCACAAUUUCUAAGCGGGAAUCAUGGCGGAAAGACGCACACCUCGUUUAUAAGCAAGAAAGAGUGUUAUCAAGAAGAAACAUCCAGAAAAAAGAAGUUCUUAGCUUAUCGUUUCGUGAGGAACGUGCGAUUACAGCGCCCCAACGGUGUAAUAUGGAACACACUCCCUAAGAUUUUCAAAUAUAUCGAUAUUACCCACAAUUUCUAAGCGGGAAUCAUGGCGGAGAGACGCACACUUCGUCUAUGAGUAAGAAAGAGUGUUAUCAAGAAGAAACAUCCAGAAAGAAGUAUAAUCCAGAAGUUCUUAGGUUAUCAUUUCAUGAGGAACGUGCGAUUGCAACGCCCCCACGGUGAAAUAUGGAAUAUACUUCCUACGAUUCUCGAACAUAUCGAUAUUUCUCUCACGAUCGAUUUUAAAGCGGGAAUCAUGGCGGAGAGACGCACACUUCGUCUAUAAGCAAGAAAGAGUGUUAUCAAGAAGAAACAUCCAGAAAGAAGCAUAAUUCAGAAGUUCUUAGGAUUACCUCAUCCCCUCUUACUUUAUCAACUGAAGGACGAGACGUGUUGCGGAGAGUCAUUCAGCUCUGGAAUUUUGUGACAACAAUACGUAUUACUGGUUAUUUCUUGGUUGCAAAAUAGCAUAGACGCCACGAUCAUUAAUGCACAAUCUGAUGAACUUUUAUGGAGAGUUGGCAACAUUUUGUUCAUUUUGAAAGUUUUUGUGACCGCGCGCAAUGCGGUUAGUAGAAUCAGUGUUUGUUGCGUAAUAUUUUAGUACUUGUCUGAGCGAAAUGGCUCUUAUCAAUUCAUUUAAAUUUAAUUCGCGGAGUUAGAGCCAGUGAGUUUGCCGAUUGUUACUUAAACGCGUGCGUUGAUAGUCUUUUAUUUUUCUUCUUUCAUGUUCAGUGCUUGUUUUCGGUAUUAGAGUCAGUGCUCAAGAGGAUAAGGCCUCUCCAGGAGAUCAAGAUCACGCUUCACAUCAGUAACAGUUUUUCUGUAUCUUUUGGGGAAAAUCCAACGAUGUCUCUAACUCAGAAAAUAUUUUCUACACUCUUCACUUCCCUUAAUCUUCUAAGGAUCUUACGAUGCUUUCAAAGCUAAAAAUGAAAUUUUUCACUUCUGCCAUGGGAGUCUCAGUGGUAUCUAUUUGAUGGGGGUCUUCACGAUAACUUUUCCUGCUCCAGUGCAACAUCGAUGAUAACAUUCUUCACAUCUAUUCCGUGAGUCGCAUGCAUUUAUGUUCCUCCGGUCACUCAAUCAUGUCGUAGGACGAAAGAUCCGAAUCGACACGGGUGAUUGGUUGUAUACGUAGAAUUUUUGAUGAGCAUAGUGACCGCGGGUAUUUUUUAUACUCGUGAGUAGUAACAUUUUUUCAAGAUUUUUAU